rnacentral:rRNA from 1 species
AUUGAACGCUGGCGGCAGGCCUAACACAUGCAAGUCGAACGAGUGGCGGACGGGUGAGUAAUGUCUGGGACACUGCCCGAUGGAGGGGGAUAACUACUGGAAACGGUAGCUAAUACCGCAUACCAUCGGAUGUGCCCAGAUGGGAUUAGCUAGUAGGUGGGGUAAAGGCUCACCUAGGCGACGAUCCCUAGCUGGACUGAGAGGAUGACCGGCGACACGAGAAGUGGACCACGGUCCGGAGUCCUACGGGAGGGAGCAGAGGGGAAUAGUGAGCAAGGGGCGAAAGCCUGAUGCAGACAUGGCGCGUGUAUGAAGAAGGCCUUCGGGUUGUAAAGUACUUUCAGCGGGGAGACGUUACCCGCAGAAGAAGCACCGGCUAACUCCGUGCCAGCAGCCGCGGUAAUAC